UACAGAGGCCCCGAGCGUUAAUCGGAAUUACUGGGCUUAAAGGGUGCGUAGGCGGACGCGUAAAUGUCUUGUGAAAGCCCUCGGCUCAACCGGGGAAUUGCAGGGCAUACUGCGGGUCUUGAGGGACCUAGAGGCCGGCGGAACGAUAGGUGGAGCGGUGGAAUGCGUAGAGAUCUAUCGGAACGCCAAAGGUGAAGACAGCCGGCUGGGGGUCUCCUGACGCUGAGGCACGAAAGCGUGGGGAGCAAACAGG
rnacentral:rRNA from 1 species